AAAAAAGGCAGGCGUGUAGCGGAUCACGAAUCACACAAGUUAUCCUUGGCGCACCUCUCCUCACAACAAAAUUGUCGCUUCACUGACGUGUCCGUUUGUAUGUCUUUUCCGUGCGUCCAUCACCCCUACAGACUCCGCUGCCGCAACGAAUUCGACGAACUUCCUUGCCUAACCGAAACAGCCCCCCUUCCCCACCCAAACACACACGUUGUCAACGAGAGGUGCAUACAAUUGGCCGCGCACCACUAGUCUCGCACACGGUAACAUCGACUCCGACUUCCUCACCGCCGGCACGUUAUAGGACGCAAAGGUACCCCGCCCCCUCCACCCGUCUUUCACCAAACACGCAAGCGCGGACAGACAGCGAGGACAGUGACGGGGCACGUAACGUUGCACGCGUGAAGAUCCUUUUGUGCUUCCGCGGCCCUGAAAGUAAGGAAAAAAGAAGCAGCGAAGAAGACGAACAAAUCGGCGCUGCUCAUCCGUGACAACACCCUCCACUGCCCAUCUCUCUGCCUCGAGCGUCUCCACGUCUCUUCCGUUCUAUAUAUAUAUAUAUAUAAUUUUUUUUGUGCUCGUCUUCCUCCAAGUGGGGUGGAGCUCGCGUGGUUCUUGCUCUCUCCGACGUUUCGUUUCUGUCUGCGCCUGUGCGUGUGUGUAUUCUCAUUAUCCGCCCACGCUCCUCAUCCUGCAACGGUGCUCGUUCUCCUCCUUCCCCACCUCCUCUCCCACAUUGAAGCGUCUCAGUGUGUGCAUGUGUUAUCUGCAUUUAUGUAUUCAACGUAAGUCUCUAUGUGUACAGCGCUCUGCUCUGCGCCCUCUUUGCCCCCGCCUCUCUCCCCUCAUCUCCGCGAUCUCGCCUACGACUGUGUGCGCGUGUGCGUGUGCGUGUGCGUGUGCGUGUGGUGGGGUGGUGCCAUCCUCUUUGACUUUUCGCCAUAGUCGUUGUUGUUGUUGGUCGUGGUUUGCUCGUUGUCUCUCCUGAGCGCCAUAUUUUUAACCGGUUAUCACUGCCCCCCCCCCCUCUCUCUCUCUCUAUAUAUAUAUAUAUAUAUACACGUUAUCUUGCUUCCCCUUGUAGCUCACUUGAUUUCUGUAUUGCCUCACAGCGUGCGCGCGCGUCAAACCCGCCACCGCUUCUUACGCCUUCGCGCUUCCCUUUCCUUGUUUGUGAUUGUUGACGCUUCUUCUACGUUUCUUGGUUUUGUUGCCACCACCCCACUCACCACAUUCUCCUCCUCUUUUUUCUGCAAUAUUUCUUCAGUCGGUGAUUCGCUUGUGGGCGUAGGUGCGUGUGCCCUCUCUCACUCUUUGUUUUCUCCUGUGUGCUCUUGUGUUCGCUGGCCUUGCUCCGGGCGGCGACUCUUUGCUUGCGUGUGUGCAGUCGACGACGUGACAAUACGUGGAGGGCAGCGUUUCAAGCCGAUUCGCUUCCUCGUGCACGUGGUCUGGGGUAAGGGAUAGCAACGUCACUGCUGCUACAAAACACGCUAGCACUGUGGAACAUUUUUUUUUUUCGGACUUGUGUCGCGCACUUUUUCUUUUGCCCACUCACACGCGCCGCUUUCCGCCUUUGCAGCUGCGCUUUACGUGUGCGUGCGUUCAGGCGCAGGCCCACAAGUCUCGGCACUCGCCCUCUUCUCUUUCACCCGCUCCUGCUUGCUUUACUUGUGCGGACUUGGACGACGGUGCUACCCUUUUUUCUUUUCUUUUUUUUUUGCUUUGCCUGUCACCGUUGCGCGGCGAGCGUUGCGUCGACGUCGCGCCCUUACACUUACCCGGAGCUACUUCCCCCUCUUCGCUCUUUGCACCCUCCCCUCUCCGACUGCAGAAGUUUGUGUGCUACAUUUCCCUAGCUUCCCUAUCGACUGAGCUGGGCGUUUCCUGUUCUUUCGCCUCGACUCUCCGCCGUCCAUAGAGAGCACGAUGCGUGCACCUACAAACCCACUGGCUCCAUCGUCGCACGCCAAUGCGUACAACGCGUACUUGCCUGCCUUUCUGCCAUCGCCGGUGCAACGGCCGGCAUCGCCGCUGGUCGAUUUGGAUGACAUGUUUCACGAUGUCUCAACUUUUGUCUUGCACGACGAAGACCUGUCCACAGCGCCUGCACCUGCAUAUGCAGUGCCGGCGUACCUCGCAGCAGCUCAGUGCCCUCACAUCCAACCACAACGCACGUUAACUGCAGGGGCUCCCAGUGAAGCAAAAGAUGAUGCUGACAGCAAUGAUAUGGAGCUCAUAAUGCUUGACACAGAGAGCCGCAGUUCUCGCAUCUCGCUCAAGCAGCGGCAGCAGCCACGCAGAAACCGCAGGUCGUCCAGUGAGUCUACGAGAGAGGAGAGAUCCCAAGUCUCGUAUGCGAGAGCCUCCACAGGCACACACAGCCACGGCGCCAGCGAUUACGGCUCGUAUGACUACAGCUUAUACCCUCGCCGACAGUCUUCUAUCUACAACGUGUAUUCUGAUGAGAGCUUGUCCGCCUACAGCCGCCGUAGUGGAUCCUGCCAGCAACUCGGGCACACCAUCCUGCGCGUGUUGAUCCUGAUGAAGCGAGAUUGGUGCUCGACGCUGUGCGAGUUCUUGAUUCCCAUUUUCUUCCUCGGUGGCUCCAUCUUGCUAUGGGCUCUCUACGGCAAAACGUCUGCCGACGAUUUCGACUAUUACAACAGUCUGGGGCCUUUGGCAGUGCUUCAAGUGGCCGCCAACAUCAGCAGCUCCCUGUGCUACAACGCGUCCUUGGCGAGCGGAAUCGCCGGCUUAACGCCGUGUCUGGAGGGACAAAAGUAUUAUUGUCCCCACGGCCGCGGCAUCCCGACUGGCUUCUGCUACGACCCGCCUCUCAAAAACGUGGUAGCACAGCUCCUCGGCGCUCUGCCACUCACGACAUCGCCAAUGCUGCCCCUGGACACACUCAUCGCGUGCCAGUGGGUGGCGAUGGAUCAGUCGAUUCGAGCAUCAACGCCGUUCUCCUACGGCGGCCUGCUGUACUUUGCGCCGCGAACGCCGGAGGUGGAGUCGCUGGUGUCGUACAUGCGGACCCAGUCCAAGCUGUUCGACAACGCGUACGGCGGCACAUUUGCGACGGCAGCGGACGCUACGUCACACAUACUGUCGUUGACGCACGACGACCCGCCGACGUGGGGCGUUGUGGAGCUGGACAGCUACACGGCCGACACGUUCAACGUGAAGAUCAUGGUCAACUCAUCGGCCUUGCCAGCGACGUCGGACAGCAUUCUCAGCGGGUACCUUGGCGGGCUGGACAUGUCGACCAACUCGCCGUACAUCUUCUCGGGCUACACGACGCUGCAGACGCUCGUGUACAAUCACUACACCACGAGUGUGCUCGGCAAGCCGGCGACGAAGCCGCUGACCUACACCGCCAUGCCCACGAAGGCAUACAAUACCAGCUCCUUUUUGUUGACUGGUGCCUCCCUGGCGCCGCUGAUUUUGGUGCUUGGGUUCCUGUAUCCUGUUUCGCAGCUGACGAAGCGGAUUGUGGUGGAGAAGGAGCUGCGCAUUCGGGAGGCCAUGCUCAUCAUGGGUCUCUCUGAGUGGACCAUGUACCUUGCGUGGCUCGUGGUGUACGGCGUGUGGUACACUGUCGUGUCCAUUAUCAUCACGGUCCUCCUGCGCUUGACAUACUUGCCCGAAAGCAGCCCCGGGUACGUCUUCUUCAUGUUCUUGCUCUUCUCUUGGUCCACCAUCGCACUGUCCGGCGCGAUUGCGGCUGUGUUCAGCAAGGCCCGGCUGGCGGCCAUCAUCGCGCCUCUCAUCUACUUCGCGAUGGCGAUACCGCUCUUUGCGAUGGAAAGAGCCAGCGGGGGCGCCAAGAUGGGCAUCAUGAUCCUGGGCCCGAGCGCUUUUGCUGUCGGCUUCGCUCUGCUCUUUGAGCACGAGGUGAAUGGCGGCGCCGGAGUCGGUGCGCUGGCAUACUUCCGCGACGAGCCGAAACUGAUCGUUGUGUUUGUGCUCCUCUUUGUGGACAUCUUUGUGUACCUGCUGCUGAUGAUGUACUUCGACCGCGUGGUCCCGAAGGAGUGGGGGACGACGAAGAACCCGCUGUUCUUCGUCAUCGACCCCGUGCGGUGGUGCUUCUGCCGACGCCGCGCGGGCGACGCCGACAACGACGGCGACGUCCCGGGGGACGGGCGCGCGGAAGACGGCGUGUUCGAGGCGGUGGACCCUGCGGUGGAGGAGGCUGCGGCGGUGCGGAUCCGCGGGCUGCGCAAGACGUUCAGGCGCGGCGGCAAGGCGUUUGCUGCGGUGGACGACCUGUGCUGGUCGCUGAACGAGGGCGAGAUCUCUGUGCUGCUGGGCCACAACGGCGCGGGCAAGUCGACGACGAUGAACCUGAUGACCGGGAUGCUGGAAGCUGACGGCGGCGACUGCUACGUGUACGGGCACUCCGUGCGGCACGAGCUGAGCGCUGUGCGGCAGGAGAUCGGGCUGUGUCCGCAGCACAACAUCCUGUGGCCACAGCUGACGGUGCGGGAGCACCUGGACUACUACGCUGCCAUCAAGGGGCUGAGGGGGUCUGAGAAGGAGGAUGCGAUCCGGCGGCUGCUUGCCGCGGUGGACCUGGAGGACAAGGAGCACUACAUGUCGAAGGCGCUGUCUGGCGGGCAGAAGCGGAAGCUGUCGGUUGCCGUUGCGUUUGUUGGCGGCAGCCGGCUCGUGAUCCUGGACGAGCCGACGGCCGGGAUGGACGUUGGCGCGCGGCGGCACACGUGGUCGCUGCUGAAGGAGAUGGCGAAGUGGCACACGAUUCUGCUGACGACGCACUUCAUGGACGAGGCGGACCUGCUCGGCGACACGGUUGCGAUCAUGAGCAAGGGGCGACUGCAGUGCGCGGGGUCGAACAUGUUCCUGAAGUCGAAGCUUGGCGUUGGGUUCGUGCUGACGAUGUCUGUCGUGUCGCACGCGCGGCGCGGAUCGAUCGAGCAGAUGGUGCAGGCGCUCGUGCCUGCGGCGGAGGCUAUUGGCAGCGGCGCGGGCGAAGUCGCGUACCGGCUGCCGAUGGCGUCGAAGCCUAUGUUCCCCGACCUGCUUUGCGCUGUGGAGGAGGGCAUCCCCGGCCUUGGGAUCAACGCGUACUCGCUGUCGGCGACGACGCUGGAGGAGGUAUUCAUCAAGAUCGCGGAGGGCCCGGACGCGGAGCGCGACGCGGAUGCGCUUGCGGCGAAGGAGAAGGCGGAGGCGACGGAUGCUGUGUGGAACGUGGAGAUGGAGAAGGGGCGGUGGGCGCGGCGGCGGCUGCAGUUCCGCGCGAUGAUGGUGAAGCGGCUGUGGAACGCGCUGCGCGACCGGCGCACGCAGUUCUUCCAGAUCGUAUGCCCCGUCGCGUGCGUGCUGCUUGCGAUGCUGCUGACGCUGGUGAGGCUGUUCAGCACGCCGACGAUCGUGCUGAGCAGCGACGUGUACGGGACGGCGGUGGACAUCCCGCUUGCAAACUGCGAGGGCGUGCUGGACGUGACGACGCCGUUCUCGACGAAGGCGCACAUGGAUAUCUGGACGGACGUGCCGGACGCCUCUGCGUUCUCGACGAAGCUGAACAGGACGUACCAGACGCACGCGAAGGAGCGCUACGGCGGCGUCUCGUGCGCGGCUGCGGGCAGCGGGGAGCUGUACCACAGCGUCUUCUACAACACGUCGGCUUUGCAUGAGGUCGCCAUCGAGACAGCGAAUGUCUUCGCUGCCCAUCUUCGUGUGGCAACUGGCCGAGAUAACGUGAGUGUUACCACCGCUGUGGCAUCACUCCCCAAAACAUCGCAGCAGCGGGCGGUGGAGUCAUCUCUGUACGCGAUGAUGAUUGCCGUGAUCAUCAUGAUCCCGUUCACCUUCAUUCCUUCGACCUUUGUGGGCUGGAUUGUGAGGGAGCGCGAGUGCAAGGCGCGGCACCUGCAGAACAUUUCUGGCCUGAGCUUCUACAUCUACUGGCUAUCCAACUUCUUGUUUGACCUGUGCUCGUACAUCGUCACGAUGUGCCUCGUCAUCGUUGUCUUCCUCGCUUUCGGCCGUGACGAGUACGUAGCCGUGAACAACAUCGGCGCGACGUUUGUGGUGUUUCUGCUUUACGGCGUGUCGGGCAUUCUCAUGGCAUACGCGCUCAGCUUCGCCUUCGACAAUCAUUCCACCGCGCAGAAUGUUGCCAUGCUUGUCAACUUCAUUGUGGGCUUCCUGCUGGUACUGGCGGUGUCGGCACUGUCGUUGAAAGAGUCGACGAGGAAUUUGGCCGAAGUGCUCCGCUGGAUCUUCCGCAUUGUGCCGAGCUACUGCGUGGGCGAGGCAAUCAAUAACCUCGCGUCGCUCAAGGUGACCCGCGCGUUCGGCAUCGACACCAGCACAUGGGACAUGGACGUUGUGGGGUGGGUGUGCGUGUAUAUGGCGAUCGAGAUCCCGGUGUUCCUGUUCAUCACGCUGUUCAUCGACCACCCCGGGCGGCGGCAGCGCAGCCAGCGACUGUUCCACAACCCGGACGGUGCUGCGGAGGUGAUCGAGGACGAGGACGAGGACGUCGCGGCGGAGCGGCGCGCUGUGCUGGAGGGCGGCGAGCGCGAGGGCGACCUUGUGCGCGUGCUGAACCUUCGGAAGGAGUACCCGAACGGGAAGGUUGCUGUGCGGAACAUCGCGCUGGGUGUGAGGCCCGGGGAGGUGUUUGGGUUCCUGGGGACGAACGGCGCGGGCAAGACGACGACGAUCUCGAUCCUAUGCCAGGAGUUCUACCCGACGAGCGGGCGAGCCUACGUGUGCGGGAACGACAUUGUAACGGAGAGCAGCGAGGCGCUGCGGUGCAUCGGAUACUGCCCGCAGUUCGACGCGUGCCUGGACCUGCUGACGGUGGAGGAGCACCUGUACCUGUACGCCGGCGUGCGCGGGAUCUCGUCGCGCGCGUGCGACCGCGUUGUACGUGGGCUGAUGAAGCUGUGCGGGCUGACGGAGUACCGGCGCACGAAGUCGCACGAGCUGAGCGGCGGCAACCGGCGCAAGCUGUCUGUUGCUGUGUCGCUGAUUGGCGGGCCACGCGUUGUGUUCUUCGACGAGCCGUCGGCCGGCAUGGACCCCGUUGCGCGGCGCGGGCUGUGGAACGCGAUCGAGACGGUGGCGGACAACUGCUCCGUUGUGCUGACGACGCACCACCUGGAGGAGGUGGAGGCACUUGCGCACCGCGUUGCGAUCAUGGUGGACGGGACGCUGCGGUGCAUUGGCGACAAGACGCACCUGAAGCAGAAGUACGGGACGGGGUUCGAGGUGGCGGUGCGCGUGGCGGACGAGUCACCGGAGGUGAUGGCUGGCGUGGAGCUGUUCUUCGAGGAGGAGUUCCCGUCGAGCAAGCUGACGGAGGUGCGCGCGGGGCGCUUCACGUACCAGCUGCCGAGCACUGUGCGCCUGUCGAGCGUGUUCACUGCGCUGGAGCAGCAGAAGGAGAAGCUGCAGAUCCGCGACUACAGCGUGUCGCAGACGUCGAUUGAGCAGGUGUUCAUGCGCAUCAGCGAGAAGGCGGAGCUUGAGCACGAGGAGGAGCACCGGCAGCGCAUGGAGAGCAAGAAGUCGUGCUGCCGGUGCUGCUAGCAUGUGUAGGGUGAGUGAUGUAGAUGGGGGAGCGCUGCGUAUGAAGCGGAACUACGCGUCCUGGGUCUUUACGAGGAUGUUGUCGGCUAGUGUUUUUUCUAUCUGCUUUGGGUGCUGCCGCAAGCGUCCGACCUACUUGACAGUGGGUUGCACGAGCGCAACAGGGGCCGUGGGGCUCUUCCUAAAAAAAAAAAUCAUUCAUGACGUAUAACCCUGACGCCAGCGCAGGCAGAGAGGUAGGCAGACACGCACGCACACACAGAAAGCAUGGCUACAUGCAGAUUCACUGGCAUGGGGCCGACACGAGAUCGCGGCCUCGUUCGGGUUAUUGAUGCUUUUUUAAUUUUGAGAGCUCCGUUUGUUUUCUGGCUCUCUUCUGAUUUGCCGUGUUCACUAUGCCGAUCAUGAGUUGCGCUGUGCUGCAGCGGUUCCUUCGUUUGGCUGUCCGCAUUAUGAGUCAUCUGUGUUGUCUUAUAGUGUCGUUCUCUCGCUCACCGCUGCGCUCUUCUCUGCCCCUCUCCUCGGGCUGCACUCCUCUAUCGUUUUGGUUUGUAUGUUGUCUCCUCACUUUUCCAG
rnacentral:misc_RNA from 1 species